AGUGUGUGGAUGUGUAUGUGUGUGCAUGUGUCAGCGUGUAUAUGUGCAUAAGCAUGUGCAGUUGGGGGCUUCCUUAAGGAUCUCUAGGGAGUGAGAGUUCUCCGUCUACCUGGUUUAAUCCUAUUCUGGAAAACACUCUUUUUUUGAAACCACGGGAACAUCUCUUCAGGCUCCUCCCACUGCAGUUGAAGCAUCUGUCGGGAGUUUGUCUUUCCAGAGCUGCAAAGGCUCCUUGCCUCCAGAGCGUCACCCCGCAGUCACUGCUCCCUGGACCUGCAGUGUCUCUGCUCCCCAGCCUGCCCUCCCCUUUCUCUCAUUCCUGGAGCCUUUCCUGGCACCACAGAUGGUGUAUCUUGCCCUUCCCUCCAUUAGCUUCUUCCCUCUGUCUAGCCCAUCUAGCCCCAAGAGGCAGCUGCUUCUUGGCAUCACACAGAACACCUAGGCUGGCACCACGCAGCUGUUAUUGCAAAUUAAUAUUGGGUGAUUAUUAAGAACACAAUUAAUAAUAACAAUUAUAGUUUGACAACAGAGCAAACCAUAGCUCCCUGAGAGCUUAAGGAGCUUCCCAACAAACCAUUAUGAGUUAUUCAUGAGUCGUUUCAAUUUCUAACUUUAAUUUAAUGACCAGACUUAAUAGUCAGGCCGGCCCCUGCCUGCAGCAAAUGAAUUCAGUUCCAGAAGUGUGUCCAGUCCCCGAGUUCCUUCCACCCUGCUGAGGUGAGGGGGCCAGGUGGUGGGCGCAGCGGGAGGCCAGGGCCCCUCACCAGGGGCACCACGGAGGGUGGAAGCCCCACCUGCCUGGCGCCGAAUCAUCAGCAGAACUGCUGCUGGCUCUGGGCGCCGAGUUUCCCCUCCUGCCCUGUCCUCUCCUCUCAGGGUGAGCGAGUGGGAGAAGAAAGGCUUGGAACGCUGUGGGGGCUGGGUCCUCAGGAGCCCAAGCCAGGCCUUUUGGGGAGGUGCCUCUGGACCCCACAGAGUGCCUGGCUUACAUCUCUCCCAGCUGGUCUUUCUUCCCCUCCUGCACUGAAAAACACUUGAGGGGUCCCUGCCAAAAACACAGAGGCUCAAACCACUGCAUCCAAGCGGCUGCCGACGGAUCGAGGCCAAGAGCCAAAGAGCGAGUCCCUCCGCGCCCCUCGGCGCCUCUCCGUGCCUCUCCUGAUUUUGGUGCGGUUUCUUCUUCCCUGUCCUUCCUCUUCGUGUCCUUCCCUCUCCCCACCCACCUCCCCCUGACGCACUGUUGCUUCCCCACCUCUCCCAACCCCUCUGAAAAUGCAGUCAGCUUAAGCCUCUCCCAAUCAAUGUCUAAUUUGGACUGAACAAAUGUAAGAGGAUUAAUUAUAUCACAGAAUCAGGGGCCCAGCGUGUCACAGCCACCAGGUUGUCCUCAAAUAAGCCAAGUUUCCUCUCGGGUGGGGGUGCCAUGUCCUGCUACCUGCUGGGAACACAGAGAGACCCUCAGAGGAAAGGGCCCCAAAGCACUUUGGGCUGCUGGUCCCUAGGAUCACCUGCAGUGAUACCCCCAUGUCACCCAGGCCUCCUUUCCGGGUGCUGGGAUGGAAGAGGGCGUUAUUGCUAGUUUCAAAGAUGACAGCCUCUUAGCGAGAGCAGAGAGGAAGCUCUCAAGAUGAAUGGAAGCAAAGAAACAAAGAUUCCUGUAAUCUUGUCAGUUAGUUGGGAAAAAUCAAUGUACUUAUGUGAUGAGAUUUGCUUACGCUUUUCUUCUUGGAUCCCAGCAUUGCAUCUGAACACCUGGCUGCUUGGUGGGACCCCGCUGGAGUGAAGGGGCUGAGUGAGUGUGGGUGGGUGCAGGCGCACACUGCCUCCCAUCGCCGUGGCCCCUCUGCCUCCUCCCUUCCCAGGCCACCCCAGCUCUCUCUCAUUAACCGGGGGGCUGGAAGCGCUCCCUGAAAGCCCCUGGAGUCCUGGAGGGAGAUGGCCCUGCAGUGAGGUGUUUUCAGGACCUUUUGCUAAUCAGAAGGCCAAGAGGGAAGGUGACCAGUAAGAACCAGUGAGUCUCUGCAGGGCGCCCUGCCCUCCCAGCUCCUGCUAGGCACAGGAGGGGCUGACUGUGAUACUGUGAGCUCCAGGGGAGGAUGAAAGGGGAGGACCCACAGUCCACCUGUAGCCUAGGGAAGGCUGCAUGUUUAUUUAUGAACUUUUUAGCUUGCAAAAACCAACUUUGGAAUUACAGAAAAGUUGCAAGAAUAGUCCCAUGAACUGCCGCCCUCCCGUCGCUUGGAUUUACCCGUUAUUAACAUUUUCUCACACGUGCUUUGCGGUGACCUCUCCUCUCCUCACACCUUCUUCUCCCCCCGUCACUGCUGUUCUGCUUUUUUGAGGUUGAUGACCCUGGGAAUCAGGCCCAGCACUUGGUUUCCUGGGGGUUUGCUCAACCUGUCCAGGUCAGUAGGCUGGUGUGGGUGGGGGAGACAGGCCUGGGGGGGGAGGGGCCAGGUCCCGGGGCAUGCAGCCCUUUGUCUGCCCAGCCCACCCAUCACUAGGACCCCAGGUGACCGGAGCCUGGCAGUGAGGGGAAAUGAAAGGUGAAAGUUGAGUGCCCAGCUCUCUGGGGUCCAACAGGCAUUCUAAGGGCAGCUGUGAGGGCGAAUAGGGGUGCUUGCCGGGUGGUCUGUGGGUGUGAAGGGCUGCUCUGCAGGUAUUUUUGGGCAUGUUGUACCUGGUGUUCAGGGACCAGGAUCAGAGACCUGGGAGCAGACAGAAGAGAGAAGCUGAACUUGUAUGGAGAAACCCAGGCCUGACAGGUGCAACGUGGAGGCCCAGGGGCAGGAGUCUCAUCGGGCUCCUCUCCUGCAUCUUCAGUGGCUUUUGAAUAGAUGCCAGACCCCAGCCAAACCAGACUUCCCCCUGGACCUAGGUGGACCCCAUGAUUCCAGGGAGUCCAGAGUCCUGGGCUGAGAAGGCACCCUGGAGGUCCUCUGAUCUUUCUUCUGACUCUAGUCCAGCAAAUGGUUCAAUUGGACAGGACCGAUGGGUUUAUCCUAUUUUAAUAUAUCCUUGGGGAUAGGACCUCUGUGCUCUGCCUGGGUUUCUGACUCCAGUGCUGCUUAACUAUGCACUCUGCAGGGAGCUCCUCCUCAUGCCCAGCCUGAAUUGCUGGCUGUCACUGUGGCCCAUUUCCUUCCAUUCUGCCCGCCGGGGCCACACUGCCUCUUGUCUUCCCUGUUCUCCACUCCCCCAGGCCGGCUGAUUUCCUAGGCUGGGGCCAUUAGCAUCCUUGGCCCCUGCAGAUGCUGUAGCUUCAUGACCCAGAUCCGUGGCAGAGGUGACACCGUGGGCUCCACCUCCAAGCCUGGGCUGGUGGAAAGAGGCCGGGCUGAGUCAGGGCCAUGGUGAGUUCCACGAGGCAUCUAAAAGGAGGUGAGUCUGCCCUUGAGUGCCUCCAAGGUUGCUUAGUCUCGUGGAGUCUUGUGCAGUGACUGUGCCCAGGCAGAAAAGUGCCCAGAGGAGCAGCCCUGUGUGUUCAUUGGAUCAGCCAGACACACUUAAGGAGUAUCUGGUUUAUGCCAUGUGCUGUGCUACACGCUGAGAGCCAUCAACGACUAAAUUGCAGUUCCUGCCUUUAAGAAGCUCUGCCACGAGGCAGAAACAAGUAAAAAAAAACAGUGACGCUUUUAUCCAUGUGGCAAGCAAGAGACACACAGGGCCCAAGACUGUGUGUGAUCUUGGAUGCUCACUGGACCAGCCUGGGGCCCAGACAUCCUGACCUAGCAGCUGAACCUGUGUGGUGGGCGCGAGGCUAUGAUGCAGGUUCUGAUCUUGCUGCUUCUCCUGGUUGUUCUGACUGUUUUCCCUGAGCCUUUUUUUCCUGUGUUUGGCGUGUGGGAUAAGCAGGCUAUUCAAGCAGAAGGCGUGAGUCCUGCUGCCUCCAGUGGAAGAGGGCGCGUGCACACACAAAGGAGGGGAAGGGCCCACCCGGCCAGCAGGCAGUGGGCUCGAGGGGAAGGGGAGAAGGCUACU